UGCAAAUAUUUUCAAACCAACUGUCAAAUUUCUAAACUCUCCGCAACAAUUGGCUCCUCCCUCUCUCCCAACCGAACCACCACCGUCUAUCUAUGCCUAUGCCGAUGGCAAUGGCUACCUCAAUUAAUUCACCAAUCACCUUUCACUUCCUCAAACCACCACUUUCUUCUUUUCCCUCACUUUCUCGCUCUCCUCAAUCGCAUUGUAGCUUCUUCAAUUCCUCAACCACUCGCUGCAGUUACUCUUCUCUCGAAGUUAGAGAUGUUAGCUAUCAACCACCAGGGACUGAGUUUAAGCUUCUCAAUUCAGUUAAUUUUUCACUUCCAGAGAAAAGUUUGGGUCUAAUUUUCGGACAGAGUGGAAGCGGGAAAACAACUCUCUUGCAGCUUCUUGCAGGAAUAAACAAACCAACAUCUGGAUCUAUUCACAUCCAAAAAUAUGGGGAUGAUGGGAGUCCAAGUCAAUCUCCUGAACCGUUGGUGCCGGAAAGGGUCGGUAUUGUCUUCCAGUUUCCAGAGAGGUAUUUUGUUGCUGAUACUGUACUUGAUGAAGUCACUUUUGGGUGGCCAAGACAAAAGGGUAAUGAUCAAUUAAGGGAGAAUCUUGCUCUAGGGCUUCAGAGGGCUAUUAACUGGGUUGGAUUAAGUGGGAUAUCAUUGGAUAAGAAUCCUCACUCUCUCAGUGGCGGUUACAAACGUCGCCUUGCCUUGGCAAUACAAUUAGUGCAAAUCCCCGAUUUAUUAAUAUUGGAUGAGCCUCUUGCCGGACUUGAUUGGAAAGCACGUGCGGAUGUUGUGAAGCUUUUAAAGCAUCUAAAAAAAGAAUUAACUGUGCUUGUUGUCAGCCAUGACUUGAGAGAGUUUGCAAGUCUAGUUGAUCAAUCAUGGAGGAUGGAAAUGGGUGGCAAUCUUAGACAGGAGUUUCUACCAUUAUAAUUUAUAUUUAUUGCCUUGAUAAUCAAGAUAGAAUGCUUCAAGAUUCAAACAACAAAACUCACACACACUAAGUACAUAGAAUUGGGAAACAGGAGAAAAGGAAGUUAGGGAGGGUAUUGGAUUGAAUUAUGAGUGUGUGGAAAAGGCUAGUAGGAUCUCUCAAAUCACCAGGAAUUUACUCUGUUCAAUGUACUCUUUCCCCUGAACUAGUUCACACUACACUGGUACUGGAUUUGGGAGAUAGGGUUCCUCAAUUGAAGUUCAGUUGUCAGUUCUUAUCCCUAAUAUCCUGUCACAGUGGAGUUCCUGCUAGUGCUGUUGUUUGAUGCACCAGUAAGGGCAUGCUUCCAUGCAUUUAGGUGCUCAAUGAGGAAGGAAAAAGUUAAAAAGAAACCCUUGAUUAGAGAACCUAGAGCUGCUGAUACCAUGAAGUGCUCAUUGUUCCCAGUCGAACCACUGCAACAUAAGUCAUCUUGCGGUGGAUUCCAGUUGAUCUCACAGUGUUCAUCAAAGCAUUCACGAGGAAGAUUUUUAAUCUUAUCUUUGUGGGAUUUAGUAACACUUUUUGCAUUUAAGGUGUCUUCAGGAUGGACUUUUCUGUGAAACUUGCGUAGAACCUGCAUACCCAGAUGAAUAACAGAAUAACUUAUUAUGAUUGUUUCGUGUGUGUUCAAGAUGAAAUAUUGAAACUGUGGUUUGAUUUUGAGAGCUAAACUUAUUCAAGAAAAUGAGAGUCUUUGCAUACCUAAUGAUAUUUGGCACAUUAACUUUUUAACAUAGUUACAUUUUGUGGAAAGCCCUUCUAGAAUCCCUUCGUUUAAUGGUCUGUAAGGAUGCUUUACAAUUUUUAAAUGUUAAUAUGGUUAUAUUCUUUUUAUUCUCCUCUA